rnacentral:misc_RNA from 1 species
GACAGAGGGUGCAAACGUUGCUCGGAAUCACUGGGCGUAAAGCGCGUGUAGGCGGGCAUUCAAGUCAGAUGUGAAAGCCCUGGGCUUAACCCAGGAACUGCAUUUGAAACUGGAGGCCUUGAGUACUGGAGAGGGAAGCGGAAUUCCUGGUGUAGAGGUGAAAUUCGUAGAUAUCAGGAGGAACACCGGUGGCGAAGGCGGCUUCCUGGACAGUGACUGACGCUGAGACGCGAAAGCGUGGGGAGCAAACAGG